rnacentral:rRNA from 1 species
CAUCACUACGCUAGAUGCAUAUCAAUAAGCGGAGGAAAAGAAACUAACAAGGAUUCCCCUAGUAACGGCGAGUGAAGCGGGAAGAGCUCAAAUUUGAAAUCUUAAAGGGUUUCCCUUUACGAAUUGUAGUUUAAAGAAGUGUUUUCUGUUGGAGUUUCGGUAAAAGUUCUUUGGAAUAGGACAUCAUAGAGGGUGAGAAUCCCGUAUUUGACCGUUACUUUCCAGCUGUGUGAUACACUUUCAAAGAGUCGGAUUGUUUGGGAAUGCAGUCCAAAAUGGGUGGUAAAUUUCAUCUAAAGCUAAAUAUUGGCGAGAGACCGAUAGCGAACAAGUACCGUGAGGGAAAGAUGAAAAGAACUUUGAAAAGAGAGUUAAACAGUACGUGAAAUUGUCAAAAGGGAAGCGUUUGACACCAGUGUUGUUUAGUUGAAAAUCAAUUCAAUAAUUUUUGAUUUUGAGUAGUAUUGACUUCAUCAGCUUGCUGCUUUCUUUUCAGGAAAUUAUUGAAUGCACUUUUCAGUUAACAAGUCAACAUCAAUUUCUUUUGUUGUAAAAGGGUAAGAGGAAGGUGGCUUACGCUUCGGCGUAAGUGUUUAUAGCCUUUUACCUCUGCAAGUCGGAGAGAUUGAGGACAGCAGCGUAGACUCUUCGGGGUUAGAUACACUUGUGCUAAGCUAUAGCCUUGUAUAGACAACUUGUUGACUAUGAUCAGUCCUGUAGCUUACUCGCUUGUGCUAUUUUACCUACGCUUAGGAUGUUGACACACGCGCGUGCUCG